rnacentral:tRNA from 1 species
ACUUUUAAAGGACCACAGUUUUAGCCCACCAGCCUUGGCGUUGGCAACCCU